AUUGAACGCUGGCGGCAGGCCUAACACAUGCAAGUCGAAUGGUAACAGGAAACAGCUUGCUGUUUCGCUGACGAGUGGCGGACGGGUGAGUAAUGUCUGGGAAACUGCCUGAUGGAGGGGGAUAACUACUGGAAACGGUAGCUAAUACCGCAUAACGUCGCAAGACCAAAGAGGGGGACCUUCGGGCCUCUUGCCAUCAGAUGUGCCCAGAUGGGAUUAGCUAGUAGGUGGGGUAACGGCUCACCUAGGCGACGAUCCCUAGCUGGUCUGAGAGGAUGACCCGCCACACUGGAACUGAGACACGGUCCAGACUCCUACGGGAGGCAGCAGUGGGGAAUAUUGCGCAAUGGGCGCAAGCCUGAUGCAGCAAUGCCGCGUGUAUGAAGAAGGCCUUCGGGUUGUAAAGUACUUUCAGCGGGGAGGAAGGGAGUAAAGUUAAUACCUUUGCUCAUUGACGUUACCCGCAGAAGAAGCAACGGCUAACUCCGUG
rnacentral:rRNA from 1 species